rnacentral:rRNA from 1 species
UGGGGAAUUUUGGACAAUGGGCGAAAGCCUGAUCCAGCAAUGCCGCGUGUGUGAAGAAGGCCUUCGGGUUGUAAAGCACUUUUGUCCGGAAAGAAAUCCUUGGCUCUAAUACAGUCGGGGGAUGACGGUACCGGAAGAAUAAGCACCGGCUAACUACGUGCCAGCAGCCGCGGUAAUACGUAGGGUGCAAGCGUUAAUCGGAAUUACUGGGCGUAAAGCGUGCGCAGGCGGUUUGCUAAGACCGAUGUGAAAUCCCCGGGCUCAACCUGGGAACUGCAUUGGUGACUGGCAGGCUAGAGUAUGGCAGAGGGGGGUAGAAUUCCACGUGUAGCAGUGAAAUGCGUAGAGAUGUGGAGGAAUACCGAUGGCGAAGGCAGCCCCCUGGGCCAAUACUGACGCUCAUGCACGAAAGCGUGGGGAGCAAACAGGAUUAGAUACCCUGGUAGUCCACGCCCUAAACGAUGUCAACUAGUUGUUGGGGAUUCAUUUCCUUAGUAACGUAGCUAACGCGUGAAGUUGACCGCCUGGGGAGUACGGUCGUCAAAGAUUAAAAACUUAAAUGAAUUGACGGGGUCAUAGCUGUUUCCU